rnacentral:rRNA from 1 species
GACGAACGCUGGCGGCGUGCUUAACACAUGCAAGUCGAACGGAAAGGCCCUACUUUUGUGUGUUUCUCGAUUGCCGAACGGGUGAGUAACACGCGUGUAACCUGCCCUUAUCUUUCGGAUAUCUCCUGGGAACAGCGGCGAUUACCGGAGAGAAGCUUCUGCUCCGUGUUGUGGAUUGGAAAAUUUCGGCGGUUGGGGAUGGACUCGCGGCUUACCAGCUUGUUGGUGUGGUUGUUGCUUACCAAGGUUUUGACGGGUAGCCGGCCUGAGAGGGUGACCGGCCACAGUGGGACUGAGAUACGGCCCAGACUCCUACGGGAGGCAGCAGUGGGGAAUAUUGCACAAUGGGCGGAAGCCUGAUGCAGCAACGCCGCGUGCGAGAUGACGGCCUUCGGGGUGUAAACCGCUUUCGCCUGUGACGAAGCGUGAGUGACGGUAAUGGGUAAAGAAGCACCGGCUAACUACGUG